GACGAACGCUGGCGGCGUGCUUAACACAUGCAAGUCGAACGGUGAAGCGCCUUCCUUUUUGGUGGGUGUGGAUGAGUGGCGAACGGGUGAGUAACACGUGAGUAACCUGCCCCCUUCUUCUGGAUAACCGCAUGAAAGUGUGGCUAAUACGGGAUCUUCUGGGUCUGUCGCAUGAUGGGUCUGGGAAAGAUAUUGUUUCGGUGGGGGAUGGGCUCGCGGCCUAUCAGCUUGUUGGUGGGGUGAUGGCCUACCAAGGCGGUGACGGGUAGCCGGCCUGAGAGGGUGGACGGUCACACUGGGACUGAGACACGGCCCAGACUCCUACGGGAGGCAGCAGUGGGGAAUAUUGCACAAUGGGCGCAAGCCUGAUGCAGCGACGCCGCGUGAGGGAUGGAGGCCGUCGGGUUGGGAACCUCUUUCGCCAGUGAAGCAGGCCUGCCUCGUUUGUGGGUGGGUUGACGGUAGCUGGAUAAGAAGCGCCGGCUAACUACGUG
rnacentral:rRNA from 1 species